rnacentral:ncRNA from 2 species
GCCCCGGCUCGUGGAGAAUUUGAGCCGGCCGGCUUGCUGCCACGUUAAACAGAUCGCUAAAAGGCCGGGGACGUGGCAGG